rnacentral:rRNA from 1 species
GAUUGCCCUAGUAACGGCGAGUGAAGCGGCAACAGCUCAAAUUUGAAAUCUGGCGCAAGCCCGAGUUGUAAUUUGUAGAGGAUGCUUCUGGGUAGCGACCGGUCUAAGUUCCUUGGAACAGGACGUCAUAGAGGGUGAGAAUCCCGUAUGUGACCGGCCCGCACCCUUUACGUAGCUCCUUCGACGAGUCGAGUUGUUUGGGAAUGCAGCUCUAAAUGGGAGGUAAAUUUCUUCUAAAGCUAAAUACCGGCCAGAGACCGAUAGCGCACAAGUAGAGUGAUCGAAAGAUGAAAAGUACUUUGGAAAGAGAGUUAAAAAGCACGUGAAAUUGUUGAAAGGGAAGCGCCUGCAAUCAGACUUCGCGGCAGUGUUCCGCCGGCCUUCUGGCCGGUUCAUUCUCUGUCGCGAGGCCAUCAUCGUCUCGGCCCGCUGGAUAAGACCUUGGGAAUGUAGCUCACCUUCGGGGGAGUGUUAUAGCUCAUGGUGAUGCAGCGAGGCUGGGGCGAGGUCCGCGCUUCGGCAAGGAUGAUGGCGUAAUGGUUGUCGGCGGCCCGUCUUGAAACACGGACCAAGGAGUCUAACAUCUAUGCGAGUGUUCGGGUGUCAAACCCCUACGCGUAAUGAAAGUGAACGGAGGUGGGAACCGCAAGGUGCACCAUCGACCGAUCCUGAUGUCCUCGGAUGGAUUUGAGUAAGAGCAUAGCUGUUGGGACCCGAAAGAUGGUGAACUAUGCCUGAAUAGGGUGAAGCCAGAGGAAACUCUGGUGGAGGCUCGCAGCGGUUCUGACGUGCAAAUCGAUCGUCAAAUUUGGGUAUAGGGGCG